GACCUCGUAGCUCAGUUGGUAGAGCAGCUGACUCUUAAUCAGCGGGUCCAGAGUUCGAGUCUCUGCGGGGUCA
rnacentral:tRNA from 1 species